rnacentral:rRNA from 1 species
UACGUAGGUGGCAAGCGUUGUCCGGAUUUACUGGGCGUAAAGAGCGCGCAGGCGGUCGUAUAAGUCGAAUGUGAAAGCCCCUGGCUCAACUAGGGAGAGUCAUUCGAUACUGUUCGACUCGAAGGCAGGAGAGGGAAGUGGAAUUCCGGGUGUAGUGGUGAAAUGCGUAGAUAUCAGGAGGAACACCUGUGGUGUAGACAGCUUACUGGACCAUUUCUGACGCUGAGACACGAAAGCGUGGGUAGCAAACAGG